rnacentral:rRNA from 1 species
UACGUAGGGUGCGAGCGUUAAUCGGAAUACUGGGCGUAAAGCGUGCGCAGGCGGUUUUGUAAGCCAGAUGUGAAAUCCCCGGGCUUAACCUGGGAAUGGCAUUUGGGACUGCAAGGCUUGAGUUUGGCAGAGGAGACUGGAAUUCCUGGUGUAGCAGUGAAAUGCGUAGAUAUCAGGAGGAAUACCGAUGGCGAAGGCAGGUCGUCUGGGCCAUUACUGACACUGAGAAGCGAAAGCAUGGGGAGCGAACAGG